rnacentral:misc_RNA from 1 species
GAAGAUUUGUCUGCUGAGUUGCAUAUUUACACCGACUUCCUGAGAAUUGUCCUCGAAAUACUGAAUGCAAUUUUGACUUAUGCGCUGCCACGCAAUCCUGAGGUUGUAUACGCUAUAAUGCACAGGCAGGAGGUUUUUCAGCCAUUCAAGAAUCAUCCACGCUUCAAUGAAUUGAUUGAAAAUAUUUACAUGGUUUUAGAUUUCUGGGAGAGUGGCAUGGAUGCACAUACAAAAGAUGGGGAAUGGUCCGUAGAGAAAGUCCUCCAGCUUGUAAUUAU